rnacentral:rRNA from 1 species
AUACGGAGGGUGCAAGCGUUGUUCGGAAUUAUUGGGCGUAAAGCGCGCGCAGGCGGCUGCGCAAGUCUGAUGUGAAAGCCCCGGGCUCAACCUGGGAAGUGCAUCGGAAACUGCGUAGCUUGAGUACGGGAGAGGGAAGCGGAGUUCCGAGUGUAGGGGUGAAAUCCGUAGAUAUUCGGAAGAACACCAGUGGCGAAGGCGGCUUCCUGGACCGAUACUGACGCUGAGGCGCGAAAGCGGGGGAGCAAACAGGAUUAGAUACCCUGGUAGUCCACGCCGUAAACGAUGGGUACUAGGUGUCGCGGGUAUUGACCCCUGCGGUGCCGAAGCUAACGCAUUAAGUACCCCGCCUGGGGAGUACGGCCGCAAGGCUAAA